rnacentral:lncRNA from 1 species
GUGCGUUCUAGGCGCAAUUUAUGGAUUACUGUUAUCACACGUAUUGACAGGUAGAGAAAACGACUCCGAUGUUAGUAUGGUAAGUACCACCGUGCUGUGAGUCCAUUCUACACUGUGUGACUUGGAGUCUAGCUUCAGUUCGUACCUAAUUCAUGUUGCAUGCCCGACCUGUUCUCAGUGCAACAGAUUUCUCGGUGGCUCUUGUAUUUCGCUGUCAGAAAUACACUUUCAAGCUGCGCAUUUCACCCGUGUCUUCUGUUCCGGGCAACUCCAAGUCGCCACAACAAAAGCAACGUUGCCUUGGCUUCCUGCACGUGGUCGCGCGCUUUCGAGACCGGAGCGAGUUUUUCUUUGAAAAAAAAGUGGAGCAGGAAGGUGAAGUGUCGCCAGGAGAGCUUUGCUCUCCGCGUAUCGAAGUAUGGUCGCAGCAAGGCAGAAGGAAGUGAAUCCUAUGGAGCGAAAAAGCCGGUGUCUUGCAAGAUCACAGGAAAUACAGAACACGGGUGAGGGUGAGCACAGCGUAGAAGAGACUCGAGAGAUAGGCAAAACGGCGAACUAAUUUUUGAGAUCCUAAUGGUAAGAAUAAGUUCUCAAGUAUGCAUUUCUAGUUGUGGCGACAUUAAAUGUUCCCGUACUUCGAGCAUGUAGACUCUAAUAUAUGCUCAUCUACGCUACCUUUUAAGUGCAUCGCUCUGUAGGCUCGUGCUCUCUUCUUUUUCACGUAGGAACCAGGAAAGGUAGGUGUGAUUUUCUCGCAAAGAUAGCUCUGCACUGCGAUCCAUCCAGGGCAUAUCAACCAGGAAGAUUUUGCCCACACCGAGGAAACACGAGAGUUUGUGGCACUUGUGCUCACGACACUUUUUAUAGGGAAGGUCUUCGAAUUUUCGGUAAUUACCAUGUCUACCAUCUCUGUGUUACGCCGCAAACACGCCUAUUCCUCUGGAAGAAAAUCCGUGUUUUUGCUCUUUUUCUUCCUGGGGAAGUCCAAGCAUCAAUUCGCC